rnacentral:tRNA from 1 species
UCAGACUGGCAGUCUGAAGGUCAGGGGUUCGAAUCCCCUCGGGUCCA